rnacentral:rRNA from 1 species
CUGAAUGUGUCAUAUAAUGUUCAUGUUGCCUUAAAACGCAAUCAAAUACAACUUUCAACAACGGAUCUCUUGGCUCUCGCAUCGAUGAAAAACGCAGCGAAAUGCGAUAAAUAAUGUGAAUUGCAUAUUUUCAGUGAAUCAUCGAAUCUUUGAACGCACCUUGCUCUCCUUGGUAUUCCGAGGAGCAUGCCUGUUUGAUUGUCAUUAAAUUCUCAACCCCACCGAUUUGUUUUGGGGGGAUUGGACUUGGAGUGUGCUGGCGAAAGUCGGCUCCUCUUUAAAUGCAUCAGUGGAGAGAAACUUGCCCCACUGUGAUAAUCCUGUUGUGCUGUGGUGGGUGAAAGUCUGCUUUCAACUGUCCUCCGGGACGAUACACCCUCUUAUUUUGACCUCAAAUCAAGUAGGACUACCCGCUGAACUUAAACAUAUCAA